AACAAUUGCCGUCGAUAAAUUUUAACGGUCUAGAUCAUUUUCUAAAACCAAGGAAACGGUAUAGAUUUAAUAUAUAAAAUAGAUGCAUGGAGUGUCGAUUGUUUUUAAUUUAAAAUCGACAAAUCUGCCGUCGAUUUUUAUCAUUAAAAAACACUUACCCAAAACACUUCCCGCGUCCAGAGAAUUCAGAAACACAAUUUCCUUUUACCCCAAAACCCCCAUUUCAGCACCAACCCGCGUCAUUCUCCACUGCCAUCGCCGCUCUGUCACGGUUGCUUCGCCGGCGCUCCUCAACACACACUCUCUCUCAACCAUAAACCCUACUCCGACACCUUACUCAAACCAAGGGUUUUCAGCGAGGUAGAACUCCAGCGAGGGAUGACAGGCAGGAGCAUGUAAUUUGAAAACCCUUAUCGUCGCUGGUUCCGAAGUUCCCUUCGCCAUUGUCGCUGGUUCUACUUACUGUCGCUGCUAGCUUGUGCUUAUCCAAUGGCCUGGUGAGGGUCUGUAUAUGGGGGAAGUGUUUUCUUCAUAUCAGUAACAUUAAAUUCGCAUGGAGAAGCAAGAAUAAUAGGCCAGUCUCUGCCUCUGUCACGUGUCCCUCUAACAAGGCUUCUAGGAAGAAAACUAUUAUCAAAGUAAUUGCAGAGGAUUCCUCUGGUUCAAAUGUAAAGAGAGCAAAUUUAUCAGCCGCGAAAUCGGAGAGAAUUAAGCUGCCUGAUUAUAAUGAUGGCGUUGGAGGUAAGAAAUACCACAUAAGCGAAUUUCUAAGGCAGCCUAGUGGUAUUGCGGCCGUGUUGAACAUGAGGGCGUUGCAAACAUUUGAAUCUCUUGAUGCUAACACUUACAGAAAUGCUUUGACAUUAUUGAUACGGAAGAGGAUGAUAUCUAUCAAGCUUGGAGGUUUAGGGCUGCCAAGCGCUUGUGAGGUAUGCUCCAUGCCAUUCGCAAAAAAGGUGCCCGUCCAUAUUGGAUCCCACCAGAAGUUAUCGGUGAAUUGAUGAGACGUUGGGACACUGAUGCCUAUAGACAAUUACAGGCGAGAAAUACAGCUGCCAGGAAAUCGACUCGAGGUACUUCCCUUCACACUGCAGGAGGCACCACCUUUCCAGAAGCAAGGUUACGCUUGGUAAUUUGUUUAUAGACAAUCUUUACUAUGAUAUUUGCUGUUCUGUGAAUGGUGACAAUUGCAAAAAUAUAGAAUUUUAUACAGAUUCAAAAUUUUAUGUGCAUUUUCAAUAUUUGUGAAGUUUUGAUUGUCUAUGUGUGGCUUCUUUUGACUGGUUUCUUAAUAUACUGCCAUUGGAGAGCUUCUAAAGAUCAAA